rnacentral:rRNA from 1 species
ACUCAAAGGAAUUGACGGGGGCUCACACAAGCGGAGGAGCAUGUUGUUCAAUUCGAAGCAACGCGAAGAACCUUACCUGGGUUUGACAUGCGCGAGGUAGGAACCCGAAAGGGCGACGAUCCGGGCAACCGGGGAACGCGCACAGGUGCUGCAUGGCUGUCGUCAGCUCGUGUCGUGAGACGUUAGGUUAAGUCCUGUAACGAGCGAAACCCCUGUCGUCUGUUGCCACCGGGUCAUGCCGGGCACUCUGACGAGACUGCCAGUGUCAAGCUGGAGGAAGGCGGGGACGACGUCAAGUCAUCAUGGUCCUUACGCCCAGGGCUACAAACGUGCUACAAUGGCCGGUACAGAGAGACGCAAGGCCGCGAGGCGGAGCCAAUCUUCAAAACCGGCCCCAGUUCGGAUUGGAGGCUGAAAUUCGCCUCCAUGAAGCCGGAUUCGCUAGUAAUCGCGGAUCAGAUACGCCGCGGUGAAUAUGUUCCUGAGCCUUGUACACACCGCCCGU